AGGGUUUGAUUAUGGCUCAGAACGAACGCUGGCGGCGUGGAUAAGACAUGCAAGUCGAGCGCUGAUUACAGGGUAGCAAUAUUCUGUAGUCGGAGCGGCGCAAGGGUGCGUAACACGUGGGCAAUCUGCCGUGAAGUCGGGGACAACUUGCUGAAAGGCGAGCUAAUACCGGAUGUGAAUGUUGGAAGGCAUCUUCCAAUUUUCAAAGUUGGGGACCGUAAGGCCUGACGCUUCAUGAUGAGCCCGCGGCCUAUCAGCUAGUUGGUGAGGUAACGGCUCACCAAGGCUAAGACGGGUAGCUGGUCUGAGAGGACGACCAGCCACACUGGAACUGAGACACGGUCCAGACACCUACGGGUGGCAGCAGUCGAGAAUUUUUCACAAUGGGGGAAACCCUGAUGGAGCGACGCCGCGUGGGGGAUGAAUGGCUUCGGCCCGUAAACCCCUGUCAUUUGCGAUCAACCGUUAUUAUUUAAAAGAUGAUAACCUGAUAGUAGCGAAAGAGGAAGGGACGGCUAACUCUGUGCCAGCAGCCGCGGU
rnacentral:rRNA from 1 species